GCGCUUAACACAUGCAAGUCGCGCGAUCGGACCGGACCUGACUCCUUCGGGAUGACGGACCGGUUACGGAGCGGCGGACUGGUGAGUAACACGUAGCUAACCUCCCUUCGGGCGGGAAAUAGCAUCGGGAAACUGAUGUUAAUAUCCCAUAACUAUGAGAGAACCCAAGUUCUCCCAUUAAAGUGGUUUCGACCAUACCUGAAGAUGGGGCUGCGUCCUAUUAGCUUGACGGUGAGGUAAAGGCUCACCGUGGCGAAGAUAGGUAGGGGGCCUGAGAGGGCGAUCCCCCACACUGGGACUGAGACACGGCCCAGACUCCUACGGGAGGCUGCAGUGGGGAAUCUUGCGCAAUGGUCGAAAGACUGACGCAGCGACGUCGCGUGGAGGACGAAGGCCUUCGGGUUGUAAACUCCUUUUCUGGGGGAAGAAUAAGAUGAGUAGGCAAUGGCUCACCGAUGACGGUACCUCAGGAACAAGCGCCGGCUAACUUCGUGCCAGCAGCCGCGGUAAGACGAAGGGCGCAAGCGUUAUCCGGAAUUACUGGGCGUAAAGGGCGUCUAGGCGGUCAGUCAAGUCAGUCGUGAAAGUCCUUGGCUAAACUGAGGAAAGUCGACCGAUACUGAUUGGCUAGAGGGACGUAGAGGGAAGCGGAACUCUCGGAGUAGCGGUGAAAUGCGUAGAGACCGAGAGGUACCCCGAUGGUGAAGACAGCUUCCUGGGCGUCUCCUGACGCUGAAGCGCUAAGGCCAGGGGAGCGAAGGGGAUUAGAUACCCCCGUAGUCCUGGCUUCAAACUAUGUGGGCUUGGUGUCGGCUCCCGAUAGAGAGUCGUUGCCGGAGCUAACGUGUUAAGCCCACCGCCUGGGGAUUACG
rnacentral:rRNA from 1 species